UUAAGUGACUAAGCGUACACGGUGGAUGCCUUGGCAGUCAGAGGCGAUGAAAGACGUAGUAACUUGCGAUAAGCCCAGAUUAGGUAGUAACAACCAUUUGAGUCUGGGAUUUCUGAAUGGGGAAACCCACGUGCAUAAGCACGUAUCCUUACCUGAAUACAUAGGGUAAGGAGGCGAACCGGGGGAACUGAAACAUCUAAGUACCCCGAGGAAAAGAAAUCAACCGAGAUUCCGAAAGUAGCGGCGAGCGAAAUUGGACUAGCCCUUAAGCUUUACACGCGUUAGACGAACGGUCUGGAAAGUCCGACGAUACAGGGUGAUAGUCCCGUAGUUGACGACGUGUGUUCAGUGAAAUCGAGUAGGGCGGGACACGUGAUAUCCUGUCUGAAUAUGGGGGGACCAUCCUCCAAGGCUAAAUACUACUGACUGACCGAUAGUGAACCAGUACCGUGAGGGAAAGGCGAAAAGAACCCCUGUGAGGGGAGUGAAAUAGAACCUGAAACCGUGUACGUACAAGCAGUAGGAGCAGGCUUUGUCCUGUGACUGCGUACCUUUUGUAUAAUGGGUCAGCGACUUAUAUUCAGUGGCAAGGUUAACCAUCUAGGGGAGCCGUAGGGAAACCGAGUCUUAACUGGGCGUUCAGUCUCUGGAUAUAGACCCGAAACCAGGUGAUCUAGCCAUGGGCAGGUUGAAGGUUGAGUAACAUCAACUGGAGGACCGAACCGACUAAUGUUGAAAAAUUAGCGGAUGACUUGUGGCUAGGGGUGAAAGGCCAAUCAAACCUGGAGAUAGCUGGUUCUCCCCGAAAGCUAUUUAGGUAGCGCCUCGGACGAAUACUACUGGGGGUAGAGCACUGUUAAGGCUAGGGGGUCAUCCCGACUUACCAACCCUUUGCAAACUCCGAAUACCAGUAAGUACUAUCCGGGAGACACACGGCGGGUGCUAACGUCCGUCGUGGAGAGGGAAACAACCCAGACCGCCAGCUAAGGUCCCAAAUUACUACUAAGUGGGAAACGAUGUGGGAAGGCUCAGACAGCCAGGAUGUUGGCUUAGAAGCAGCCAUCAUUUAAAGAAAGCGUAAUAGCUCACUGGUCGAGUCGGCCUGCGCGGAAGAUGUAACGGGGCUAAGUAGUAAACCGAAGCUGCGGCAAUGUGCUUUUGCACAUUGGGUAGGGGAGCGUUCUGUAAGCGGUUGAAGGUGUGUGGUAACGCAUGCUGGACGUAUCAGAAGUGCGAAUGCUGACAUGAGUAACGAUAAAGGGGGUGAAAAACCUCCUCGCCGGAAGACCAAGGGUUCCUGUCCAACGUUAAUCGGGGCAGGGUAAGUCGACCCCUAAGGCGAGGCCGAAAGGCGUAGUCGAUGGGAAACGGGUUAAUAUUCCCGUACUUCUUACAAUUGCGAUGGGGGGACGGAGAAGGCUAGGUGGGCCUGGCGACGGUUGUCCAGGUUCAAGUGCGUAGGCUUAAGAGUUAGGUAAAUCCGGCUCUUUUUAAGGCUGAGACACGACGUCGAGCAUCUACGGAUGUGAAGUCAUUGAUGCCAUGCUUCCAGGAAAAGCCUCUAAGCUUCAGAUUGUAAGGAAUCGUACCCCAAACCGACACAGGUGGUCGGGUAGAGAAUACCAAGGCGCUUGAGAGAACUCGGGUGAAGGAACUAGGCAAAAUGGUACCGUAACUUCGGGAGAAGGUACGCUCUCGACGGUGAAGUCCCUCGCGGAUGGAGCUAUUGAGAGUCGCAGAUACCAGGUGGCUGCAACUGUUUAUUAAAAACACAGCACUGUGCAAAAUCGUAAGAUGACGUAUACGGUGUGACGCCUGCCCGGUGCCGGAAGGUUAAUUGAUGGGGUUAGACUUCGGUCGAAGCUCUUGAUCGAAGCCCCGGUAAACGGCGGCCGUAACUAUAACGGUCCUAAGGUAGCGAAAUUCCUUGUCGGGUAAGUUCCGACCUGCACGAAUGGCGUAAUGAUGGCCACGCUGUCUCCACCCGAGACUCAGUGAAAUUGAAAUCGCUGUGAAGAUGCAGUGUACCCGCGGCUAGACGGAAAGACCCCGUGAACCUUUACUACAACUUGGCACUGAACAUUGACCCUACAUGUGUAGGAUAGGUGGGAGGCUUUGAAGCACGUACGCCAGUAUGUGUGGAGCCGUCCUUGAAAUACCACCCUUGUAGUGUUGAUGUUCUAACGUCGACCCCUUAUCGGGGUUGCGGACAGUGCCUGGUGGGUAGUUUGACUGGGGCGGUCUCCUCCCAAAGAGUAACGGAGGAGCACGAAGGUGGGCUAAUCACGGUUGGACAUCGUGAGGUUAGUGCAAUGGCAUAAGCCCGCUUGACUGCGAGAAUGACAAUUCGAGCAGGUGCGAAAGCAGGUCAUAGUGAUCCGGUGGUUCUGAAUGGAAGGGCCAUCGCUCAACGGAUAAAAGGUACUCCGGGGAUAACAGGCUGAUACCGCCCAAGAGUUCAUAUCGACGGCGGUGUUUGGCACCUCGAUGUCGGCUCAUCACAUCCUGGGGCUGAAGUCGGUCCCAAGGGUAUGGCUGUUCGCCAUUUAAAGUGGUACGCGAGCUGGGUUUAGAACGUCGUGAGACAGUUCGGUCCCUAUCUGCCGUGGGCGUUGGAAGAUUGAAGGGGGCUGCUCCUAGUACGAGAGGACCGGAGUGGACGAACCUCUGGUGUUCGGGUUGUGUCGCCAGACGCAUUGCCCGGUAGCUAAGUUCGGAAUCGAUAACCGCUGAAAGCAUCUAAGCGGGAAGCGAGCCCUGAGAUGAGUCUUCCCUGAUACUUUAAGUAUCCUAAAGGGUUGUCGGAGACUACGACGUUGAUAGGUCAGGUGUGUAAGUGCUGUGAGGCAUUGAGCUAACUGAUACUAAUUGCCCGUGAGGCUUAACCAU
rnacentral:rRNA from 1 species